UACGUAGGCAGCGAGCGUUGUUCGGAGUUACUGGGCGUAAAGGGCGCGCAGGCGGCUCUGAAAGUCAGAUGUGAAAGCCCCGGGCUUAACCUGGGAAUUGCAUUUGAUACUCUGGAGCUUGAGUGUGGGAGAGGAGAGUGGAAUUCCCAGUGUAGAGGUGAAAUUCGUAGAUAUUGGGAAGAACACCGGUGGCGAAGGCGGCUCUCUGGACCACAACUGACGCUGAGGCGCGAAAGCGUGGGGAGCAAACAGG
rnacentral:rRNA from 1 species